rnacentral:tRNA from 1 species
GGGAAGUUGGCUCAGUGGUAGAGCACCUGCCUUGCAUGCAUGAGGCCCUGGGUUCGAUUCCUUAGCACCACA